CAAUAGCGUAUAUUUAAGUUGUUGCAGUUAAAAAGCUCGUAGUUGGAUUUCGGGUGGGAUGCAGCGGUCUCGCAUUGCGUUUGUACUGCUGCAGCCCUCCUUCUUGCCGGGGGCGGCCUCUCGGACUUCACUGUCUGGGGGUCAGAAUCGGCGAUGUUACUUUGAGUAAAUUAGAGUGUUCAAAGCAAGCUUACGCUCUGAAUAUAAUAGCAUGGGAUAACACGACAGGACUCUGGCCUAUCGUGUUGGUCUAUAGGACCAGAGUAAUGAUUAAGAGGGACAGUCGGGGGCAUUCGUAUUCCGUUGUCAGAGGUGAAAUUCUUGGAUUUACGGAAGACGAACAUCUGCGAAAGCAUUUGCCAAGGAUGUUUUCAUUGA
rnacentral:rRNA from 1 species